UUUACAUUAUUCGAUCCAACAAGCUAAGGUGUAGAGAGCAAAUAUGGCCACCGUUUGCAAAGUUGGUUUCUUCACCAUCCUUGUGUGUGGUAUUUUUUUAUUGGGAAGCAAUGUGGAAUUAGCAAAUGCUCAAACAGCUUGUCUGGAGGUUUGUGAACCUGGAGCAGCCUAUAUGAUCUGCCCACCAAACAUAAAGACUGAACCAGACUGCACCAAUUGUUGUAAAAUUCAGAACACUGGUUGCCAGCUUUACCGUUCCAAUGAUUCUCCCAUUUGCACUUAAAACCAAAUAAUAAUAUAAUGUCUCAAUCAUCAUAUAUAUAUAUAUAUAUAUAUAUAUAGAUGGAAUAAGAUUGUAAUAAGACUUUAAAAUAAUUAUGCAUGGAGGUGAGGCUAUUAGUAUAGUCUAUUACCUUCCUUGUAAGACUAGUACUUGCAGUUAUUGUUGUUAGUAUGAUGUUCCAACCCCACCGUCGUAGUGUGGUUAUGUUAUUGUUAUACUAAAAAAUAAUGGUUUUAUAUUUUUA